CCUGCUUCUAAAGGCAUUGCAGGUGUGCCUGCUGUGUCACUGUGCAUCAGUAUGUGGCAGAGACUAGAGAAAUUAGUCUUUGCUCAGUGUUCUGACUAGUGAACAUCUGAAUGAUGAGUAGCUAACCAUU